AUUCCGGGUGACUUGAGUUCUUCGGAGUGGCGAAAAUUUGAUCAUUAGUACUCCCUUGAACACCCACAAGCCAAAACCCCCGCCACAUACAGGAACGUAUACUGUUACCUGUUUGCGAGUCACUGCAGAAAGUGAGUUGUUUUGUAUUUCUUCCAACUGUUAUAUACUCCGUAUAAUUCCUUUUUCUGUAACUUCCUACAAAUCCACAGGACAUAUGUACCGGGCCAUACUUGAUGGAACACAUGCCAAAGCUUCAUAUUACAAUCUUGGCGCUGGGUAUAAUGGCAUAUGGACAUUGCUUUGGAGCAAGCGUAUUUGAUGUUCUAAUGAGAUGUCGUGGUCUAAAAAGGCUGGAUCUUGAUUUUCUGCCAAGAAGUCAACUCGGGGAACAAACUCCGUGCCCAUCAGGUUGCAUAUGUGAUCAGCAACCAAAAUGGAAAACAGAAGAGCUUGCGCUGAAUUGCCUCGAGGAAAUAGAAAUCCAUGACAUGAGGGGAACUGAACAUGAAGUUGCUCUUGUGCAGCGGUUAUUCCAUUGGGCAAUAGUACUCAAAAGGCUGAAAAUAGUUCUCCAUGAAUUAAUCACUGAAAGCAAGGCCAAAGAGCUCCGCCAGUUAUUACUGAACUUCUCUAGGCUAGAUAUAUGUAUCGAUAUUAGCACGUUUGUUCCAUAACACGUGGGCACCACUUUUUUUCUCA